rnacentral:misc_RNA from 1 species
GAUGAAGAACGUAGCGAAAUGCGAUACUUGGUGUGAAUUACAGAAUCCCGUGAACCAUCGAGUCUUUGAACGCAAGUUGCGCCUCAAGCCAUUAGGUUGAGGGCACGUCUGCCUGGGCGUCACAUAUCGUUGCCUGAUGCCAGUUUCCUCGUGAUGGGUGACUGUGCAGGGCGAAUGAUGGCUUCCCGUGAGCAUUGUUGCCUCAUGGUUGGUUGAAAAUUGAGUCCUUGGUAGGGAGCGCCGUGAUAGAUGGUGGUUGAGUGACGAACGAGACCCAAUCAUGUGAGACCCCUACCGAAUUUGGCCUUCAUGACCCACAUGCGUCUUUGGAACGCUCAUGACGAGACCUCAGGUCAGGCGGGGCUACCCGCUGAGUUUAAGCAUAUCAAUAAGCGGAGGA